GCUGGGCAUGGUGGCGCGUGCCUGUAGUCCCAGCUGCUUGGGAGGCUGAGGCAGGAGAAUUGCUUGAACCUGGGAGGCAGAGGUUGCAGUGAGUGGAGAUCGUGCCACUGCACUCCAGCCUGGGUGACAGAGUGAGAUUCUGUCUCAA
ensembl:misc_RNA Metazoa_SRP Metazoan signal recognition particle RNA